rnacentral:rRNA from 1 species
UAGGGAAUCUUCGGCAAUGGACGAAAGUCUGACCGAGCAACGCCGCGUGAGUGAAGAAGGUUUUCGGAUCGUAAAACUCUGUUGUUAGAGAAGAACAAGGACGUUAGUAACUGAACGUCCCCUGACGGUAUCUAACCAGAAAGCCACGGCUAACUACGUGCGAGCAGCCGCGGUAAUACGUAGGUGGCAAGCGUUGUCCGGAUUUAUUGGGCGUAAAGCGAGCGCAGGCGGUUUCUUAAGUCUGAUGUGAAAGCCCCCGGCUCAACCGGGGAGGGUCAUUGAAAACUGGGAGACUUGAGUGCAGAAGAGGAGAGUGAAAUUCCAUGUGUAGCGGUGAAAUGCGUAGAUGUAUGGAGGAACACCAGUGGCGAAGGCGGCUCUCUGGUCUGUAACUGACGCUGAGGCUCGAGAGCGUGGGGAGCAAACAGG